AGGGCGAGGGGGUGGGGAGCACUGGAAAUACAGGGCUCCGGCCGGGCAGGCUCGGGAGGAAGUGGCAGUGCCCGGGCUCCGGGGCUGGCUCCAGUCGGUCGUCCCUCGUGCAGGAGGAGGAGGGACUGGAGUAGGCAGCUUCCUCGGUCAGUGUGACACGGCCGGUCACAGACACCCGGGGAGGCAGCACUGGGGUCAGCCCUCGGGAGCCAAGUGUUCCACAAGGACGAAAAGUGGCAUUAUUUAAAACAUUGGAAGAUUUUCUAACCUGAAGGAAUACUCCUCCUCAAGAUCCUCACUAACAUCUGGUACACCCAACUGGAACACAGUCUCCCGGGCUUGGAAGUUUACCCAGCGUAUGCUGAGGGCAUUUGUCACAGGUGAGACGGGAGGGAUUCAGCAGGGGCUGGCCUGGGGUCUGACGGUUCAGGUGACCUGGGCCACUGAGGGCCACGAAUUUCUUCCCUUG
rnacentral:lncRNA from 1 species